GCGUGGAAACACACUAGACGGCUCACCCGCGCGAUUUUCGCAAUGACAAGUCGCAGCAGGAACUUGAAGUAAAACACAUUAAGCGGCUCUCGGCUUAUUAUAUUUUAGACGGAUGCAAGACGAGUCUAUGAUACAAGGUACAACUGUUUGGAUAGUAAGCGGAUGAGAGAUGCGGUAUAUAAAGACAGAAUGGUGGAAAACGGAAGAGGGGAUGUUUACCUGAGCAAGAGGGAGAGAGAAGUUGAUCACAAACGUCUAAAAUAUUGCAUUUCUCGACAAUUUGGAUGGAAUUCGAGUAUCCGCAGCUACAUGACCGCAGAAUGAUUUUCACGUAUUGGCUCACCUGAGAGUACAUUUCUUAUUGCCUUGCUUUAUUUACACCUAUCAAAAGCGCAUAAACACUAAUACUCCCACAAAACCGUUGCGGCGCAUCAUCUCCAUCGACCCACCGCAGCGUAUGAGGAACCUUACAACAGUGAUAUUGGAACCGCACACACCCGCCCCGCCUUAUGUGUUUUAUCUCAUUCACAUUUCAUUAUCGAGGCCCCGCGGCGAUCUGUCAUUGCAAAAUCCGCGCGGGAGAGCCGUCCAGUGUGUUCUUACGCUUAGUGAGGGCAUGAAACGACGACCCCAAAGUCUGUGAUGGAAUUUGGUUGGAGUUUACAUUGACCAGGAACAAUCGCAGCUGAAAUUCUUGCUGGAUCGUGCCAUUUUAUAUUUGCAUCAGUCUAAGGAAUGCAUGGAGUCCAUCCGAACCUGUUAUCAUCCUUGCCAUCAGUUUCUGGAAUGCGCCAAGAGCUUAACCGUUACUUCGGUACAGGUACACGUCGGAAAGAUGAAUAAUACUGGGGACACGUUUGCCGACUAGUUUGAUGCGAAUAUCUCCGGGCGUUGGGAGAGUGUGGUUUGCUCUAAGCGCUGCCUCGAGUCCGGUGGAAUAAUCGGCGCAGAUACGCAUAUAUGCCAAUGAUAAGGAGCUGCCCGAUCGGAGAAUUCGAUGAGCGUGAUAAUAUCCAUACGUUGGAGCAGUUCCGAUUCUUCUUCUACUUUUUAAGCGGCACAGAAAGGAACCGCUCGCUUGUAUCAAAAAAUUGACUGCCCAUCGUGUUUUAGGUUCAGACGAACUUUAGUUUUAGUGCAGUGACUCAGAUGUUAUUAAAAAAAACUUCGAAGCCCCGAGUUAGGAAGUGCUAAUCAUUACAAAGGAACUUGGAAAGUUUCACCUGAUUGCAGUGUGCAGCAAGUGGUUUUAACCAAAGAUCGAGUGCAUUCAUCAGUCCAUUCCAAUUACGUUUAGAUAUUUAACCGAAAUUACGUAGAAAUACUCCAUUCGAACUGGCUUAUGAUGUUCAAUGUACUGAACUCCCCUACCGAAUCAAGAGGUUCUUCAUGCACGAAUGUUACAUCCAUUUGUGUGGAAUUGAACGUAGGUCAAUAAUCUUAUAAUUUUUUUGUGUGAUCACCGAAAUGUCGAAACAAAAGUCGAGCUUAAGAUCCGCUUAGGAGCCGUAGAAGUUGACGGAAACAUAUCUCGUACGACUCUGUAUAUGCAUCACUGACUGAAUCGUCUUCAUUUGCGUUUUCUUGUCUUUCUUGUUGACCUUCUUGUCGCCUGCGGAUGUUGACUGAGGACUGACAAUGCUCUGAAAUGCAUAGCUCCACACUAUCAGCACGGAAAUGGAGAAGUUUUACCGUCUGUUGUUGUUGGUUUUGAUUGACUGUUUCUUGAUCUGCCGAACCGCCUAAACCGAAGCUGAACGAUUCUUCCACCAACGCCACAUCAUGCUUGGGGUUUGACAGGCCCUGGCAUUCGGUCAUCAAACCAUAGGUGUUCACAUCGGAUGUAUCGGAGCUUCGAUAGGAUAUGGGUGUCUGUCGUCGUUUUGAGGCUGCAGUUGAACACCAAAUGCCUCGCACUCGCACUCGCACGGUUCACCACCCCGGCACAAGUGACGAAAUUAUCGGCUUCGUUCUUAAUAAGGUGAAUGCAAUCGUAAUGCUUACAGAACAAAGACUUUUGCUGUCCAAAUAUCGACUUCGGCUUCAACUUGUCCACAACGUGAAAUUGCGUUGUUCAUAUGACAAAAGAAAAUUCAAAACCGUAACGCUGAGGUUACACAGUGUAGCCGCACCUUUCCCAAGUCAUUCAGGGUGCUACCAUCCUGCCUGAAGCAGUCUUAUAGCGAAUUCGUUUUUAAAACUGAGUCAGUGCCACACUGACUCUGUAAUAAAAAAACGUUUUCAGUUUCACGAAUGCGGUGGUUUGUUGGUGUGCGUUGUAUAGUCUGAUUUGUUUAUAUUUGCGACGACAAAUGUACAGUGUCGACGUCUGGUGGAGAUAUCAGUGCUUGGGAGGUAAAGUAUUCUCUAUAAGAUCAGAAGGGCCAAGUGCAGUGUAAAAAUAUAAAAGUUUGAAUGAAAAUUUUUACUUCAUAUUGUCUGAUUACCUAACACAUGUAGUCCUGACACUCACUUAACCAUUUGUCAAUGCAUUUCCUGUUUGUUCCACAAAUAAUUACUAUUAUAAUAUAAAAUCAUCAUUAAACACAGUUUUCGUUCAAUGUAUCGCAGAAUCGGAAAAAACCCUCUUAUUUCAUCACAUAAAAUAAAUAUUCGAUACGUUAAAGUAAAUUUUCAUUCCUAAUUUUGAUUUUGAGAGCAUGUUUAUUCCUCCUGAAUAUCCAUAAUAAUUUUCGCCUCCCAAUGAAAGCACACGGAGCUUAAUGCCGUCUACACGAAUAUACUUUUCAAAAUCAGAAUCCGAAUUGGAUUACGAUUCAAAUAAUACAAAAGCAAGAGCAGCAGGUUUUCCAUUUUCAUAGUCUCUAUUUUUAGAUUUUCUAAAACAAUACUCGGAACUUGACAGUUCAGUAUAGUUGUAUUGGUGAACCCGAGUGCCAACCCGUGAAACAUCUCAGUGCGAAACUAACAGCUUUCGGGGCGAACUAGUGCGACACUGAGUGCGAAACUGAGUGAAUAAAAAAACGUUUUGACAGCAGUUAGUGCGGCACUGGGGUUGAAACUGGACAAAAACGAAUUCGCUAUUAGUACUUUGAGAACCAUUGGUCGAACGUGAACACGUGGUCCGAAGUGAAACUCCAAGAUGGCAGCGGAGAGUUCAAUAAUGUGUAUUCUCAAAUCUUUAAACUCAUCGCCAAAAAUUAAGCAUAACAUAAAACAAGUUUGAGGAACAAACGACAUUUACAGUAGAACCCCAAUUAUCCGCGAUGCGUACAGGUCAUAACUUAAUAUGGUCAGAAAACUGCGAUCGUUCUGAAAUUUUAGCAAAAUGCUUUUAGAUAUUCUACUAUACAAAAAACUAAAAACAGAUUUUAAAAAAUCAAACCAAAAUUAUAACUCGGAGGAAAGUUGUCCUUCUUAA